GACGAACGCUGGCGGCGUGCCUAAUACAUGCAAGUAGAACGCUGAAGGAGGAGCUUGCUUCUCUGGAUGAGUUGCGAACGGGUGAGUAACGCGUAGGUAACCUGCCUGGUAGCGGGGGAUAACUAUUGGAAACGAUAGCUAAUACCGCAUAAUAUUGACUAUUGCAUGAUAGUCAGUUGAAAGGUGCAACUGCACCACUACCAGAUGGACCUGCGUUGUAUUAGCUAGUUGGUGGGGUAAUGGCUCACCAAGGCGACGAUACAUAGCCGACCUGAGAGGGUGAUCGGCCACACUGGGACUGAGACACGGCCCAGACUCCUACGGGAGGCAGCAGUAGGGAAUCUUCGGCAAUGGACGGAAGUCUGACCGAGCAACGCCGCGUGAGUGAAGAAGGGUUUCGGAUCGUAAAGCUCUGUUGUAAGAGAAGAACGAGUGUGAGAGUGGAAAGCUCACACUGUGACGGUAUCUUACCAGAAAGGGACGGCUAACUACGUG
rnacentral:rRNA from 1 species